GAUGAACGCUAGCGGCAGGCCUAAUACAUGCAAGUCGAACGGUGUCUUCGGACAUAGUGGCGCACGGGUGCGUAACGCGUAUGCAACCUACCUUACAUUGGGGGAUAGCCUUUCGAAAGGGAGAUUAAUACCGCAUAAGACAGUAGCUGGGCAUCCAGCAGCUGUUAAAGAUUUAUCGAUGUAAGCUGGGCAUGCGUCCAAUUAGCUAGUUGGUGAGGUAACGGCUCACCAAGGCAAUGAUUGGUAGGGGAACUGAGAGGUCAAUCCCCCACACUGGAACUGAGAUACGGGCCAGACUCCUACGGGAGGCAGCAGUAGGGAAUAUUGGGCAAUGGACGCAAGUCUGACCCAGCCAUGCCGCGUGCAGGAUGAAGGCGUUAUGCGUUGUAAACUGCUUUUAUACAGGAAGAAACGACUCUUGCGAGAGGCAUUGACGGUACUGUAUGAAUAAGCACCGGCUAACACCGUGCCAGCCGCCGCAGUAACAC
rnacentral:rRNA from 1 species